UACGAAGGGGGCUAGUGUUGUUCGGAAUCACUGGGCGUAAAGCGCACGUAGGCGGAUCUUUAAGUCAGGGGUGAAAUCCCGAGGCUCAACCUCGGAACUGCCUUUGAUACUGGGGAUCUCGAGUCCGGGAGAGGUGAGUGGAACUGCGAGUGUAGAGGUGAAAUUCGUAGAUAUUCGCAAGAACACCAGUGGCGAAGGCGGCUCACUGGCCCGGAACUGACGCUGAGGUGCGAAAGCGUGGGGAGCAAACAGG
rnacentral:rRNA from 1 species